GACGAACGCUGGCGGCGCGCCUAACACAUGCAAGUCGAACGAGCGAGAGGGGGCUUGCUUUCUCGAGCGAGUGGCGAACGGGUGAGUAACGCGUGAGGAACCUGCCUCAAAGAGGGGGACAACAGUUGGAAACGACUGCUAAUACCGCAUAAGCGCACGGUGCGCCAUGGCACGGAGGGAAAAGGAGCAAUCCGCUGUGAGGUGGCCGCGCGUCCGAUUAGCUAGUUGGGGUGGUGAUGGCCCACCAAGGCGACGGUCGGGAGCCGGACGGAGAGGUUGACCGGCCACAUUGGGACUGAGGCACGGCCCAGACUCCGACGGGAGGCAGCGGUGGGGAAUAUUGCACGAGGAGGGAAACCCUGAUGCAGCGACGCGGCGUGGAGGAAGAAGGUCUUCGGAUUGUAAUCUCCUGUUGUUGGGGAAGAUAAUGACGGUACCCAACAAGGAAGUGACGGCUAACUACGUG
rnacentral:rRNA from 1 species